ACCCCAUGCAAGUCGAGCGGUAGCACGGGGAGCUUGCUCCUGGGUGACGAGCGGCGGACGGGUGAGUAAUGUCUGGGGAUCUGCCUGAUGGAGGGGGAUAACUACUGGAAACGGUAGCUAAUACCGCAUAACGUCGCAAGACCAAAGAGGGGGACCUUCGGGCCUCUUGCCAUCAGAUGAACCCAGAUGGGAUUAGCUAGUAGGUGGGGUAAUGGCUCACCUAGGCGACGAUCCCUAGCUGGUCUGAGAGGAUGACCAGCCACACUGGAACUGAGACACGGUCCAGACUCCUACGGGAGGCAGCAGUGGGGAAUAUUGCACAAUGGGCGCAAGCCUGAUGCAGCCAUGCCGCGUGUAUGAAGAAGGCCUUCGGGUUGUAAAGUACUUUCAGCGAGGAGGAAGGCGUUAAGGUUAAUAACCUUAGCGAUUGACGUUACUCGCAGAAGAAGCACCGGCUAACUCCGUGCCAGCAGCCGCGGUAAUACGGAGGGUGCAAGCGUUAAUCGGAAUUACUGGGCGUAAAGCGCACGCAGGCGGUUUGUUAAGUCGGAUGUGAAAUCCCCGGGCUCAACCUGGGAACUGCAUUCGAAACUGGCAAGCUUGAGUCUUGUAGAGGGGGGUAGAAUUCCAGGUGUAGCGGUGAAAUGCGUAGAGAUCUGGAGGAAUACCGGUGGCGAAGGCGGCCCCCUGGACAAAGACUGACGCUCAGGUGCGAAAGCGUGGGGAGCAAACAGGAUUAGAUACCCUGGUAGUCCACGCCGUAACGAUGUCGACUUGGAGGUUGUGCCCUUGAGGCGUGGCUUCCGGAGCUAACGCGUUAAGUCGACCGCCUGGGGAGUACGGCCGCAAGGUUAAAACUCAAAUGAAUUGACGGGGGCCCGCACAAGCGGUGGAGCAUGUGGUUUAAUUCGAUGCAACGCGAAGAACCUUACCUACUCUUGACAUCCAGAGAACUUUCCAGAGAUGGAUUGGUGCCUUCGGGAACUCUGAGACAGUGCUGCAUGGCUGUCGUCAGCU
rnacentral:rRNA from 1 species